rnacentral:rRNA from 1 species
CUCCUACGGGAGGCAGCAGUGAGGAAUAUUGGUCAAUGGGCGGAAGCCUGAACCAGCCAAGUCGCGUGAGGGAAUAAGGCCCUACGGGUCGUAAACCUCUUUUGCCGGGGAGCAAGGGCCGGGACGCGUCCCGGCCCGGAGAGUACCCGGAGAAAAAGCAUCGGCUAACUCCGUGCCAGCAGCCGCGUUAAUACGGAGGAUGCGAGCGUUAUCCGGAUUUAUUGGGUUUAAAGGGUGCGUAGGCGGGCUUUUAAGUCAGCGGUAAAAAUUCGGGGCUCGACCCCGUCCGGCCGUUGAAACUGGGG